GACGAACGCUGGCGGCGUGCUUAACACAUGCAAGUCGAACGGAAAGGCCCUGCUUUUGUGGGGUGCUCGAGUGGCGAACGGGUGAGUAACACGUGAGUAACCUGCCCUUGACUUUGGGAUAACUUCAGGAAACUGGGGCUAAUACCGGAUAGGAGCUCCUGCUGCAUGGUGGGGGUUGGAAAGUUUCGGCGGUUGGGGAUGGACUCGCGGCUUAUCAGCUUGUUGGUGGGGUAGUGGCUUACCAAGGCUUUGACGGGUAGCCGGCCUGAGAGGGUGACCGGGCACAUUGGGACUGCGAUACGGACCAGACUCCUACGGGAGGCAGCAGUGGGGAAUAUUGCACAAUGGGCGGGAGCCUGAUGCAGCAACGCCGCGUGCGGGAUGACGGCCUUCGGGUUGUAAACCGCUUUCGCCUGUGACGAAGCGUGAGUGACGGUAAUGGGUAAAGAAGCACCGGCUAACUACGUG
rnacentral:rRNA from 1 species